UUGGUACCUUGGAGUUCACAGUCUAAUGGGGAACACAGGAUAUAAGCAAGUGGUUUCAGCACAGCUUUGGAAUUGCAUGCAGAGAAGUGAGUGAAGUGACUGCGGGCCCAGCCAAGGCUGGAGUAAAGUGGCACGAUCUCAGCUCACUGCAGCCUCCGCCCCCACCAGGUUCAAGUGAUUCUCCUGCCUCAGCCUCCCGAGUAGCUGGGAUUACAGGCACAGGCCACCACGCCUGGGUCAUCCAUACUUCAUUUACCCGUCCUUGCUAUGGAUUAUUCAUUAAAACAAACAACAGCAACAAUAACCACAAAAGCAACAAUAAAAAUACCUUUGAACUCACUCAAUCUUGAACUAUUGAACAUGUUAAGUCCAUGUCAUUGGCCUAUUUAAUCAGCCCUCGAUUGUAACUUGAAGAAGCUUAUUGAUAAAAAAAUAAACUUCUCAUAAAUUAUAA